rnacentral:tRNA from 1 species
GCUUCCGUAGCUCGGCUGGCUGGAGCAUCGGACGAAGAAUCCGAGGCUCGGACCUUCGAAGCGUUCCGGGCGCACCA